CUUACGGGUGGCAGCAGUGAGGAAUAUUGGUCAAUGGGCGCGAGCCUGAACCAGCCAAGUCGCGUGAGGGAUGACGGUCCUACGGAUUGUAAACCUCUUUUGCCGGGGAGCAAGCGUGCGUUCGUGAACGCACGUCGAGAGUACCCGGAGAAAAAGCAUCGGCUAACUCCGUGCCAGCAGCCGCGGUAAUACGGAGGAUGCGAGCGUUAUCCGGAUUUAUUGGGUUUAAAGGGUGCGUAGGCUGUGAGGUAAGUCAGCGGUGAAAUGCCCCCGCUCAACGGGGUGAAGUGCCAUUGAUACUGGCUUGCUGGAAGGCGGAUGCGGUGGGAGGAAUGUGUGGUGUAGCGGUGAAAUGCAUAGAUAUCACACAGAACACCGAUUGCGAAGGCAUCUCACGAAUCCGCGAUUGACGCUGAUGCACGAAAGCGUGGGUAUCAAACAGGAUUAGAUACCCGAGUAGUC
rnacentral:rRNA from 1 species